rnacentral:rRNA from 1 species
UGGAUUGCGCAUGGGCGCAGCCUGAUCCAGCCAUGCCGCGUGAGUGAUGAAGGCCUUCGGGUUGUAAAGCUCUUUUGUCGGGGACGAUAAUGACGGUACCCGUACAAGAAGCCCCGGCUAACUUCGUGCCAGCAGCCGCGGUAAUACUAU